UGGGCGUUAAGUUGCAGGGUAUAGACCCGAAACCCGGUGAUCUAGCCAUGGGCAGGUUGAAGGUUGGGUAACACUAACUGGAGGACCGAACCGACUAAUGUUGAAAAAUUAGCGGAUGACCUGUGGCUGGGGGUGAAAGGCCAAUCAAACCGGGAGAUAGCUGGUUCUCCCCGAAAGCUAUUUAGGUAGCGCCUCGUGAAUUCAUCUCCGGGGGUAGAGCACUGUUUCGGCUAGGGGGCCAUCCCGGCUUACCAACCCGAUGCAAACUGCGAAUACCGGAGAAUGUUAUCACGGGAGACACACGGCGGGUGCUAACGUCCGUCGUGAAGAGGGAAACAACCCAGACCGCCAGCUAAGGUCCCAAAGUCAUGGUUAAGUGGGAAACGAUGUGGGAAGGCCCAGACAGCCAGGAUGUUGGCUUAGAAGCAGCCAUCAUUUAAAGAAAGCGUAAUAGCUCACUGGUCGAGUCGGCCUGCGCGGAAGAUGUAACGGGGCUAAACCAUGCACCGAAGCUGCGGCAGCGACGCUGAUGCGUUGUUGGGUAGGGGAGCGUUCUGUAAGCCUGCGAAGGUGUGUCGUGAGGCAUGCUGGAGGUAUCAGAAGUGCGAAUGCUGACAUAAGUAACGAUAAAGCGGGUGAAAAGCCCGCUCGCCGGAAGACCAAGGGUUCCUGUCCAACGUUAAUCGGGGCAGGGUGAGUCGACCCCUAAGGCGAGGCCGAAAGGCGUAGUCGAUGGGAAACGGGUUAAUAUUCCCGUACUUGGUGUUACUGCGAAGGGGGGACGGAGAAGGCUAUGUUGGCCGGGCGACGGUUGUCCCGGUUUAAGCGUGUAGGUGUGUGUUCCAGGUAAAUCCGGUUCACUUUAACACUGAGGCGUGAUGACGAGGCACUACGGUGCUGAAGCAACAAAUGCCCUGCUUCCAGGAAAAGCCUCUAAGCAUCAGGUAACAUCAAAUCGUACCCCAAACCGACACAGGUGGUCAGGUAGAGAAUACCAAGGCGCUUGAGAGAACUCGGGUGAAGGAACUAGGCAAAAUGGUGCCGUAACUUCGGGAGAAGGCACGCUGACACGUAGGUGAAGUGAUUUACUCAUGGAGCUGAAGUCAGUCGAAGAUACCAGCUGGCUGCAACUGUUUAUUAAAAACACAGCACUGUGCAAACACGAAAGUGGACGUAUACGGUGUGACGCCUGCCCGGUGCCGGAAGGUUAAUUGAUGGGGUCAGCGCAAGCGAAGCUCCUGAUCGAAGCCCCGGUAAACGGCGGCCGUAACUAUAACGGUCCUAAGGUAGCGAAAUUCCUUGUCGGGUAAGUUCCGACCUGCACGAAUGGCGUAAUGAUGGCCAGGCUGUCUCCACCCGAGACUCAGUGAAAUUGAACUCGCUGUGAAGAUGCAGUGUACCCGCGGCAAGACGGAAAGACCCCGUGAACCUUUACUAUAGCUUGACACUGAACAUUGAGCCUUGAUGUGUAGGAUAGGUGGGAGGCUUUGAAGUGUGGACGCCAGUCUGCAUGGAGCCGGCCUUGAAAUACCACCCUUUAAUGUUUGAUGUUCUAACGUGGACCCGUGAUCCGGGUUGCGGACAGUGUCUGGUGGGUAGUUUGACUGGGGCGGUCUCCUCCUAAAGAGUAACGGAGGAGCACGAAGGUUGGCUAAUCCUGGUCGGACAUCAGGAGGUUAGUGCAAUGGCAUAAGCCAGCUUGACUGCGAGCGUGACGGCGCGAGCAGGUGCGAAAGCAGGUCAUAGUGAUCCGGUGGUUCUGAAUGGAAGGGCCAUCGCUCAACGGAUAAAAGGUACUCCGGGGAUAACAGGCUGAUACCGCCCAAGAGUUCAUAUCGACGGCGGUGUUUGGCACCUCGAUGUCGGCUCAUCACAUCCUGGGGCUGAAGUAGGUCCCAAGGGUAUGGCUGUUCGCCAUUUAAAGUGGUACGCGAGCUGGGUUUAGAACGUCGUGAGACAGUUCGGUCCCUAUCUGCCGUGGGCGCUGGAGAACUGAGGGGGGCUGCUCCUAGUACGAGAGGACCGGAGUGGACGCAUCACUGGUGUUCGGGUUGUCAUGCCAAUGGCACUGCCCGGUAGCUAAAUGCGGAAGAGAUAAGUGCUGAAAGCAUCUAAGCACGAAACUUGCCCCGAGAUGAGUUCUCCCUGAGACUUAGAGUCUCCUGAAGGAACGUUGAAGACGACGACGUUGAUAGGCCGGGUGUGUAAGCGCAGCGAUGCGUUGAGCUAACCGGUACUAAUGAACCGUGAGGCUUAACCUUACAACGCCGAAG
rnacentral:rRNA from 1 species